CAGUGUGUUCUUUCUGAUUAGCUCUUAAUUGAGAUCACCUGUCACGCACGCCUUUAUUAAAGGUGAACACAAUGGGUUUGGUUUACUUUUCGCAUCGGCCUCUGUCAAUCGAGGUUGAGUUUAGUGAGGGUUGAAAGUUUUCGAUCUAGAUUGCAGAUCACUAUUGUCACUUUAUACAAACUGAAAGUAUGCGUUGUUGCGUGUUUGUUUUUGUGGGCAUUUGACUGAACAGCCCAGACAAAUAUUGCUACCAACAUGGCACUUCAAAACAGACCACCACAGUGAGUAAAAGUUAUUUUCCUUUUAUUAAAUGUUGACGUUUUUGGGCUGUCUCCUCAGACACAAGCCAUCAGUAUCCCUGCUCUUUGCACCUUGACAUGCAUGUCACUGCUGUUUGUUAACCUAGCUUUGCUGAUUUGUAUCUUGUGAUGUGUGUGUUUUUCUUAACAGGUGUUAGAUGACUGACAAGAUCUAUGGGGGGGCCCCCUUUGGGCCCCCCCAUACCAACUUAGUCUUCAAAGGAAUCUAGUGCCAUGGGACUCCAGUGUCUUCAAAACAUCCUCGGAAUACAUGUGUAUGAAUGGUCCACCGAAGGGACUUCCAGAGCCAUCUUUCGGUCUUGGUCAGGAUUUGUUAGUUGCCCUUCAAUGUAGCAGGCUACGGGUUUCUGAAGAAGCCUGCUUUACGUAGCAUUGGAGUACAAAUAUUGUGCAAAAUGCUCAUGUAAUUGCACUAGCACUGGUAACCUGUAGAUUAGCUUAGUUUAACGUCAUUCGGUGCCGUCUGUCAAAUGUGUGGCUUACUUUAAGUCCACAAGGCCCUCUGGUAAACCACGUUGGAACACCCCUGGACAAGGUGAUUAGUCACUGGGUGUGUGCUAAAGUUUUGUUCCAUUUUUCACUAGUUGGUUAAGGUUUGGUAGAAUUGUUUGGAUGCUAGCGACGUGAUGGCGUAUGUACAAGAGCCUACCGUGGCCAGGCCACAGUUGCGACGGCCACGGCCAGAUGGCCUAGUGUGAGUGCAACCUUGAUUGCAUUUGAAUACUGUUUACCAUUGGAUGUUUAUGCAAUUUAUUCAUACGCUUAAUUCAUCCGCUGUAAAGCUGCAUUUGACCAUUCCAGGGUCGUUUUGUACAGGCUUUCAAUUGACCAUGUUGACUAGUUUGUGGGAAGUUUUUUUUUUUUUUUUACCCUUGCUUACAAUCCAACGGUUGCGACCACUUAUGCAACUGGGCUGUGAACUGGGCU
ensembl:lncRNA